rnacentral:misc_RNA from 1 species
UCUCCGUUGGUGAACCAGCGGAGGGAUCAUUAUCGAGUUAUACAACUCCCAAACCCUAUGUGAACUUACCACUUGUUGCUUCGGCGCGCGCUUCGGCGCCGCCGAGGACACUUAAACUCUUUGUUUUUAUAAGCAUUUCUGAGUGGCCGAAAGGCAAAAUACAAAUGAAUCAAAACUUUCAACAACGGAUCUCUUGGUUCUG